GAUUAAGUUAUUAAGGGCGCACGGUGGAUGCCUUGGCACUAGAAGCCGACGAAGGACGUUACUAACGACGAUAUGCUUUGGGGAGCUGUAAGUAAGCUUUGAUCCAGAGAUUUCCGAAUGGGGAAACCCAGCACGAGUUAUGUCUUGUUAUCGAUAUGUGAAUACAUAGCAUAUCUGAAGGCAGACGCGGAGAACUGAAACAUCUUAGUACCCGCAGGAAGAGAAAGAAAAAUCGAUUCCCUGAGUAGCGGCGAGCGAAACGGGAAGAGCCCAAACCAAUGAGCUUGCUUGUUGGGGUUGUAGGACACUCUAUACGGAGUUACAAAAGAACAGACUAGACGAAUCAUCUGGAAAGAUGAAUCAAAGAAGGUAAUAAUCCUGUAGUCGAAAGUUUGUUCACUCUUGAGUGGAUCCUGAGUACGACGGAACACGAGAAAUUCCGUCGGAAUCUGGGAGGACCAUCUCCCAAGGCUAAAUACUCUCUAGUGACCGAUAGUGAACCAGUACCGUGAGGGAAAGGUGAAAAGUACCCGGAAGGGGAGUGAAAUAGAACUUGAAACCGUGUGCUUACAAGUAGUCAGAGCCCGUUAAUGGGUGAUGGCGUGCCUUUGUAGAAUGAACCGGCGAGUUACGAUUUGAUGCAAGGUUAAGCAGUGAAUGUGGAGCCGUAGCGAAAGCGAGUCUGAAUAGGGCGUUGAGUAUUUGGUCGUAGACCCGAAACCAGGUGAUCUACCCAUGACCAGGUUGAAGUUCAGGUAACACUGAAUGGAGGACCGAACCGACUUACGUUGAAAAGUGAGCGGAUGAGUUGUGGGUAGCGGAGAAAUUCCAAUCGAACCUGGAGAUAGCUGGUUCUCUCCGAAAUAGCUUUAGGGCUAGCCUCAAGUGAUGAUUAUUGGAGGUAGAGCACUGUUUGGACGAGGGGCCCUUAUCGGGUUACCGAAUUCAGACAAACUCCGAAUGCCAAUCAAUUUAACUUGGGAGUCAGAACGCGGGUGAUAAGGUCCGUGUUCGAAAGGGAAACAGCCCAGACCACCAGCUAAGGUCCCAAAAUAUAUGUUAAGUGGAAAAGGAUGUGGCGUUGCCCAGACAACUAGGAUGUUGGCUUAGAAGCAGCCAUCAUUUAAAGAGUGCGUAAUAGCUCACUAGUCGAGUGACACUGCGCCGAAAAUGUACCGGGGCUAAACAUAUUACCGAAGCUGUGGAUUGUCCGUAAGGACAAUGGUAGGAGAGCGUUCUAAGGGCGUUGAAGCAUGAUCGCAAGGACAUGUGGAGCGCUUAGAAGUGAGAAUGCCGGUGUGAGUAGCGAAAGACGGGUGAGAAUCCCGUCCACCGAUUGACUAAGGUUUCCAGAGGAAGGCUCGUCCGCUCUGGGUUAGUCGGGUCCUAAGCUGAGGCCGAUAGGCGUAGGCGAUGGAUAACAGGUUGAUAUUCCUGUACCACCAUUAUUCGUUUUAAGCGAUGGGGGACGCAGUAGGAUAGGCGAAGCGUACGAUUGGAUUGUACGUCCAAGCAGUGAGAUUGAGUGUUAGGCAAAUCCGGCACUCUUAAGAUUGAGCUGUGAUGGGGAGAGGAAAUUGUUUCCUCGAGUCGUUGAUUUCACACUGCCAAGAAAAGCCUCUAGCUAGAAUUGUGGUGCCCGUACCGCAAACCGACACAGGUAGUCAAGAUGAGAAUUCUAAGGUGAGCGAGCGAACUCUCGUUAAGGAACUCGGCAAAAUGACCCCGUAACUUCGGGAGAAGGGGUGCUCUUUAGGGUUAACGCCCAGGAGAGCCGCAGUGAAUAGGCCCAAGCGACUGUUUAUCAAAAACACAGGUCUCUGCUAAACCGUAAGGUGAUGUAUAGGGGCUGACGCCUGCCCGGUGCUGGAAGGUUAAGAGGAGUGGUUAGCUUCUGCGAAGCUACGAAUCGAAGCCCCAGUAAACGGCGGCCGUAACUAUAACGGUCCUAAGGUAGCGAAAUUCCUUGUCGGGUAAGUUCCGACCCGCACGAAAGGCGUAACGAUUUGGGCACUGUCUCAACGAGAGACUCGGUGAAAUCAUAGUACCUGUGAAGAUGCAGGUUACCCGCGACAGGACGGAAAGACCCCGUGGAGCUUUACUGUAGUCUGAUAUUGAAAUUCGGCACAGCUUGUACAGGAUAGGUAGGAGCCUGAGAUACGUGAGCGCUAGCUUACGUGGAGGCGUUGGUGGGAUACUACCCUCGCUGUGUUGGAUUUCUAACCCGCACCAUUUAUCAUGGUGGGAGACAGUGUCAGAUGGGCAGUUUGACUGGGGCGGUCGCCUCCUAAAGAGUAACGGAGGCGCUCAAAGGUUUCCUCAGAAUGGUUGGAAAUCAUUCAUAGAGUGUAAAGGCAUAAGGAAGCUUGACUGCGAGACUUACAAGUCGAGCAGGGUCGAAAGACGGACUUAGUGAUCCGGUGGUUCCGCAUGGAAGGGCCAUCGCUCAACGGAUAAAAGCUACCCCGGGGAUAACAGGCUUAUCUCCCCAAGAGUUCACAUCGACGGGGAGGUUUGGCACCUCGAUGUCGGCUCAUCGCAUCCUGGGGCUGUAGUCGGUCCCAAGGGUUGGGCUGUUCGCCCAUUAAAGCGGUACGCGAGCUGGGUUCAGAACGUCGUGAGACAGUUCGGUCCCUAUCCGUCGUGGGCGUAGGAAAUUUGAGAGGAGCUGUCCUUAGUACGAGAGGACCGGGAUGGACAUACCUCUGGUGUACCAGUUGUCGUGCCAACGGCAUCGCUGGGUAGCUAUGUAUGGACGGGAUAAGUGCUGAAAGCAUCUAAGCAUGAAGCCCCCCUCAAGAUGAGAUUUCCCAACUUCGGUUAUAAGAUCCUCAAAGAUGAUGAGGUUAAUAGGUUCGAGGUGGAAGCAUAGCGAUAUGUGCAGCUGACGAAUACUAAUCGAUCGAAGACUUAAUCAA
rnacentral:rRNA from 1 species